GGCGAGCGGCGGACGGGUGAGUAAUGCCUAGGGAUCUGCCCAGUCGAGGGGGAUAACAGUUGGAAACGACUGCUAAUACCGCAUACGCCCUACGGGGGAAAGGAGGGGACCUUCGGGCCUUCCGCGAUUGGAUGAACCUAGGUGGGAUUAGCUAGUUGGUGAGGUAAUGGCUCACCAAGGCGACGAUCCCUAGCUGUUCUGAGAGGAUGAUCAGCCACACUGGGACUGAGACACGGCCCAGACUCCUACGGGAGGCAGCAGUGGGGAAUAUUGCACAAUGGGGGAAACCCUGAUGCAGCCAUGCCGCGUGUGUGAAGAAGGCCUUCGGGUUGUAAAGCACUUUCAGUAGGGAGGAAAGGGUGAGUCUUAAUACGCUUUAUCUGUGACGUUACCUACAGAAGAAGGACCGGCUAACUCCGUGCCAGCAGCCGCGGUAAUACGGAGGGUCCGAGCGUUAAUCGGAAUUACUGGGCGUAAAGCGUGCGCAGGCGGUUUGUUAAGCGAGAUGUGAAAGCCCUGGGCUCAACCUAGGAAUAGCAUUUCGAACUGGCGAACUAGAGUCUUGUAGAGGGGGGUAGAAUUCCAGGUGUAGCGGUGAAAUGCGUAGAGAUCUGGAGGAAUACCGG
rnacentral:rRNA from 2 species